CUCGUCUUCUGUCUGCGCUCUGGUGGCUCGUAGUUCUGGCAAUCUAUCAUUCAGCUCCUCCCAGUCCUUUGCAUCGGGACUUCGAUUAUGGUGGGAUCUGGCACAACCACACUGUUUUGAUUCGAUCGAUGGGCUGGUGACGCCCCCUUCGUGGCACGCUUUCCUGACCUGUUCGCCAUUGCGGUAGAACCGCAGAUCUCUGUUGAGGAGACCCUUAUUGACUUAGGGCAACUGGUGUUCCGGAGGCCUUCCGGCCCGGUGGAGAACGCCGAUUGGCAAGACUUGCUUGCCUGCAUCGCACUACACGAGCCAGAUCUGAGCAUUGAAGAUGACCGCACCAGGUGGCGGCUAGAGCCAUCUGGUCAAUUCUCCACUAAAUCGCUAUACCAGGCUAUCGCCUCCUUCCUGAGACCCAAGGCUCUCACCACCAUCUGGGAGAUCCGGCUCCCUUUGAAGAUAAGCAUAUUCGUGUGGCAAUGGAUCCGCGGCCGCCUCCCGUCCGGCGUGGAGGUUCUGAAGCACAACGGCCGUGGCAACAGGCUAAGCCCGCUCUGCGGGCCUGAAGAGGAUUCGAACCAUAUCUUCUUCACCUGCGUGUCCACGAAAUUCCUCUGGAGUUGUUUCCGCGCAAUAGUGGGUGAAAGCUGGGACCACAACAACUUCCCCGUUCUCUUCGCCGAACUCCAGGCGUUAUAUAGGAUCGGAAGUAUGUCUAGGGGGGGAGGUGAUUAG
rnacentral:rRNA from 1 species